UACGUAGGGUGCGAGCGUUAAUCGGAAUUACUGGGCGUAAAGCGUGCGCAGGCGGUUUUGUAAGCCAGGUGUGAAAAUCCCCGGGCUCAACCUGGGAAUGGCAUUUGGGACUGCAAGGCUGGAGUGCGGCAGAGGAGACUGGAAUUCUGGUGUAGCAGUGAAAUGCGUAGAUAUCAGGAGGAAUACCGAUGGCGAAGGCAGGUCUCUGGGCUGACACUG
rnacentral:rRNA from 1 species